GGGGAAAGAGNAGCAAGAGUAAAUUUGCAAAGGAAAGUGCGGGGAAAGAGGUUGCACGCAUUAUUCUUUCUUAUUCUUUUUGGAAUAAUGUCCUUCAUGCUCUUAAAAUUGGUGGCCCUUUGGUUAAAGUUCUCCGUUUGGUGGAUGGGGAGCAAAAACCAUCAAUGGGCUACCUCUAUGAAGCUAUGGAUAGGGCCAAGGAGACUAUUCAAGCAUCAUUCAGUGAUGAGCAGAAAUAUGCAAAAGUCUUUCAGAUCAUUGAUGCAAGAUGGGAUGAGCAACUUCAUAGACCUUUGCAUGCGGCUGGACUUAUUCUGAACUCAUCACUCUUUUAUGAGCAGCAUGAGAAUAAUUCAUUGGCUAAAGAAGUGUGGACAGGAUUUCAUCAGGUUGUUAUCAAGUUGAACCCAGAUGAAGACUUGCAAGAAAAGAUAGUAGAUCAGCUUGCUAUUUACAAGGCAGCUGAAGGACUUGGUGACCAAGUGUUUCUAUAUUUUAUAGCUCUAACUUCAAUGUAUUCUUUAUACUUAUUAACUCUUGAACAUUUUUUUUUAUUUCUAUAGUUGAAUGGUGAGACCAAUAUGGUGUAGAGACUCCGGAGCUACAGGCUUUCGCCAUCAAAGUUCUAAGUUUAACUUGUAGCUCAUCUGGAUGUGAAAGGAACUGGAGUGUUUUUGAACACAUUCAUACAAAGAAAAGGAAUCGACUAACCUUGAAGCGCCUCCAUAAUCUAGUGUUCAUAAAAUACAAUAGAGCAUUGAGGCGUCGCUACAACCACCGCAAUAUAAUUGAUCCAAUUCUUUUGGACAAUAUUGAUGAGGCUAAUGAGUGGCUAACCGGAGUCCCCGAAAAUUGCGAAGGUGAAGAAGUAUUUGAAGGCGACUCCGAUUUCACUUGGGGUGAUGUUGCGGUUGGUAGUGGAGUUGGGGAAGAUCCUUAUGGUUUAAGGAGAUAUACUCCAAGUUCAAGCUCUAUUAGGAAGGGAAAAGGGUGGCUACUACAAGUCGAUCCCUAUCCCUAAUUGAUGAAGAUGAAAGUGAUCAUGAAGAGGAGGGGGAAGAAGAAGAUGACGAGCAAUAUGAAGAUAAUAGAGGAAUUCAAGAUUUUGACAAUCUUGAAGAAGAAGAAGAAGAGUAGAAGAAUAAGAUGUUGAUUCUAGUGUGGAUGGUUUGUGGAUGAUUUGUGGAUGAUUUGGUGGUACCUAGUACCUACUUUUAAGUAUUUAAAUUGAAGUUUUUGAUUAUUUAUAAUUUUACA